rnacentral:rRNA from 1 species
CAGUAGCCGCGGUAAUACGAAGGGUGCAAGCGUUAAUCGGAAUUACUGGGCGUAAAGCGUGCGUAGGCGGUGAGUUAAGUCUGCUGUGAAAUCCCCGGGCUCAACCUGGGAAUGGCAGUGGAUACUGGCUCGCUAGAGUGUGUCAGAGGAUGGUGGAAUUCCCGGUGUAGCGGUGAAAUGCGUAGAGAUCAGGAGGAACAUCAGUGGCGAAGGCGGCCAUCUGGGACAACACUGACGCUGAGGCACGAAAGCGUGGGGAGCAAACAGGAUUAGAUACCCGAGUAGUCCCUGUCUCUUAUAC